GCCGGGGUGGCGGAACUGGCAGACGCAGCGGACUUAAAAUCCGCCGGACCUUGGUCCCUGUGGGUUCGAGUCCCACCCCCGGCACCA
rnacentral:tRNA from 1 species